AUCUCCUCUUAAAGACUUCCACCAGCAUAAAGUAAAUGAUCCAUUGAACAUUUGUGGAGAGUCUCCUAAGUGGCAUGCACUAUAUCAGAGGCUGGAGAUUCUCUUUCAUUUCUUUUUUUUUUUUUUUUUUUUAAUAUCAAGUGCCUUACAGGUCAGUGAAGGUGACAGAGAAACAAAGCAAUAGUUAAAUGAGAGUAGAGUUGUGUCCAGUUGGGGAGAGGAGCAAUGGCAUUAAACUCAGGUGGCACUGGGAGGGGGAGAGAGAGAAAGUCUGCAAAGGAAGAUCAGUUGGUGUUGGUGCUAAGUCAGGACAGGUUAGGCAUUUCAGACAAAGGGCUCAGCAAUGCAAAAGUAUGCAAGUAACUGUGAGAUUGUAACGUGGAUAUUGAAAUGUGCCAUAAAGGAAAAACAUGGUACCAAGAAAGCUCAAGGAAAAGAGAAAUGAUGGCUUUCAUGAAGAAAACGGCAUUUAACCUCAGUGUGGCAUUAAAAAUAAAAGUGCAUGAAGAGUUAUUUGGGCGAGGAGAAACUGAAGAGGCACAAUGAUACCGUCUCCAUGCUUCAGAGCAGAGAAAAGUGAAGCUCAGCUAGACCCAGCGCCCUCCCCACAGCUCCACAGCCUGUUCAAAGUAGCUCCAGAAUGGAACCCACGUCCCGCAUCUCCAAACAUCCCUGCUUUAGUCAUAGACCCCCACACCAACUGGAAACCAUAUAUGGAAAAAUAAGAAUGUGUCGGAAGCGCUGUUUCUCCAGGUCUGCUAAGGAGCUCAAGGAAAUGCCACAGAUAAAUAUUGCUUCUGUGAGAAAUUCAUUUCUAUCCCCUGGAAAGAUCUUAUGUUGAUCUGUGGUAGAGCACGGUCUGUUUGUUUCCCUGUGGAAAUGACUUGUGGCCAUGGUAGCUCCAGGAACGUGGGGCACAGCCUUCGUGCUACACUUUCCUGACAGAAAGACCUGUCAUCUCUCAUGGUUUACUGAGGUGAGAAAGGACCAGGAUCUGCCUCUUCAUCUGAAGUGAACAGAUACUGGAGAGCUCUCCUAUCCACAAACAUUGACAAGAGGGGCAGUUGUGUCCAACAAUCACAUAUAUCAAGAAACACUGGCAAUUGGAGAUCCAAGUUGAAUAGAAAGAUUUAUCAGACAGGUGGGAAAAAACAACCACUGGUAACUGGAGAAGGCUGAAAAGACUCUUUUGAUGCCUUAUCUCCUGAAGAACUUCAGGAGCAGCUAUAAAUUCAAGAAGAGGUGGAAAACCGGCAGACUGCCAACCAAAUUCAACCCACAGACAUAUGUUGUUGGGCCUGAACAAUGUUUUAAAUGUUUUGAAUCAGUUUCCAAUUGAAAAUCAGGAUUUGUACUCAAAAAGAAAAAAACAGGUGCGGAUCUGUGUGUCUUCCCUUGAAAAAUCAGAAGAUGUAGAAAACUGGUCAAGGAUGUAUAACAGUUUGCUGGGGGUGGGCAGCUUCUACAUCCUGUAAACAGGGCAAGUUCUCUCUGUUCCGGAGGUUCUCUCCCAUAGAUAUCCUGACUGGUCUGUGGGCCUCUGUGGUGCCAGUCACCUCCGGGGGUAUUGCUCCUCUGAUGUUCGCAUACAGCUCUUUCUGCUGCAUGCUGAAUCGGUAUCAUUUUCUAUAUUUUAUUAUUUUUCAGUCCAAGCCGGUAGAAUUAGAAGUGGAGAACAAAACCAAGAGACUGUAUCUGUACCACUGGUUUAGAAAGAGGUUCCUCAGAGAUGAAUAUUACCUCAUUUAUUUGUAUAGCUUUUUCAGCAUCAUCUCACAUUAUCAAGAGUAGGAUACUGUGCUAGGUUCCUUGCUAUUGCUUUUCUCCCCUCCCUGCUCUGACCUCCUUUAUUGUUCCUAUUACAUUUUGGCAGAUGAUUAUAUCCGGACUUCUAUUGUUUUCUGUUCUCUAUUUGAGUUGUGUGUCUCUUCCGACCAAAUUGGCUGUGGGUUCUUUAACAUCAGACACUGUAUUUGUCAGCAUUGCUCUGUACUGUAUGGAGAGCAUUACAAGCAUCUGGCAUCUGCCUGAAAUUCCCUGCCUUUAAGUCCCCCAGGACCAUGAGCAUCUCCAACAAAUUCAGGUUGGCCACCAUAUUAGAAUGAUUGGGAUUCCCAAUCCCAAGCGUCACUGGAUUCUUUUUGUUUGUUUGUUUUAUUUUCCUACUUCCCCACAUCAAAAGAUGCCAAAUGGACCUAGGGUACAGUGCACCACGGUCAGGGGAAGUCAGAACAAUCACUGUAUCUCGCCUUCCCCACCUUCCCAGCCUCAAAUCCUACUGUCUACCCAUCUGCUGUGCUGACCAGUCUCUAGUCCUCCUUUCAAGCUGAUUUCUCACUCUGAAACUAUGGCCCACUUGCUAAUCCCCCUUCUUAGAGCUAGACUUCUGGCCUGUAGGAUAUAGAGCCAGUUCUCCAAGGACAACACCACUGCCACUGAGUAUUUGGUCCGUCACUUCCCACGGCCACACCUGCUUUCAUUAAUCCACUGUCCUCACACUGACUGCUUUCAGAAUUUGGACUGAGAUCGAUGGAGUCAUUCAACCUCCGUACAUAGUAUCCUGAGCAGGAUUCCCCAGGGAGAAAACAAAACAAAACAGUUCUCAUUCUUCUCUAACUGGAUCAGCAACCUAGACCCUGGACCUUCUAAUUUUCUUUCUUAUUUUUCCUUUCCAGAAUCACUUUGCUAGGAGUCCAGCAUAUCUGCCUCAUGAACCAUUUAUGUCACCGCCUUACCACCCUAGGAAAAAUUAGAUAUAAAAUAAAAAUAGAUGAGGAAAAUUCUACUUUUUUCCUCUCUCCUUAUUUGUAGUUUUUCUUUGCUUCAUUUUAAUUUCAAGUCCAAGAGUCAAUGGUUCUCUAACACUUUUUAAAUUGUUCUAUGUGGGGACACCUAAGUGGUUCAGUUGGUAAAGCGUCUGCCUUAGGCUCAGGUCAUGAACCCUGGCGUCCUGGGAUUGAGCCCCGCAUCAGG